rnacentral:lncRNA from 1 species
UUUUUUUUUUUUUUUUGUAAACAUUCUUAGGCUGAUUGUAAAGUUUAUAUGGAAAUGGAAGGAUAUCCAAAGCAAUUUUGAAAGAACAAAGUUAAAGUGCUAGAAAGAGAUCAAUAGGAGAGAAUAGAGAGAUGAAAACAGAUUCUCACACUCACUUUGUUUUUCAACAAAGACAUAAACUCAAUCCAAUCAGGAAAACAUUUUUUUCCAAUUAAAAAACUGUAUUAAAAUACACAAAACAUUUAUUAUCUUAAGCACUUUUAAGAGACAGUUUAGCGGCAUUAAGUACAUUCCUAUUGUUGUGCAUCACCAACAUCUAUCUCUAGAACUCUUUUCAUCUUGCUAAAUUGAAACUAAAUACCCAUUAAACAAUAGCUCCUUCUUCUCUCUUCCCCGCAGCACCUGGUAACCGCCAUUCUAAUUUGUGUCUCUAAGACUUUGACUGCUCUAAGUUCCUCAUAUAAGAGCAAACAUAGGAUUGUUUUCUAUGUGACUGGCUUAUAUCACUUAGCAUAAUGUCCUCAAGUUUCAUCCAUGUUGUAGUAUGUGUCAGAAUUCCUUUUUUGAGGCUGAAUAAUAUUCCUUUGUAUGUAUAUUCCACAGUUCGCUUAUCAUUUUCUCCACUGAUGGAUACUGGGUUGCUUUCACAUUUUAGUUAUUGUGGAUAAUGCUGCUAUGAACAUGGGUGUGCAAAGAGCCCAUGCUUAAGAUCCUACUUUCAAUCCUCUUGAGUUUCUGUCCAGAAGUGCCAUUGCUUAAUAGUAUGUUAGACUUAUUUUUAAUUUUUUGAAUAGUGGUACUAUUUCCUGCAGUGCCUUAUUUUACAUUCCCAACAAUAGAGCACAAGGAAUCUAAUUUCUCUACAUUCUCAUCAGUUAGUAGUCAGAAAGAAAAAACUUUUUGUUAGAUGUAUCCAGGGCUAAGAUGUAUUAUGGGGCUAUCAUAAAGGGUACACAGCUGGCUCACAAGGGAAAAGGCAGGCCCAUCUGGAGGAAUCCACGUGCAGGUCAUGUUCUCUUCUUUCCAUAAAUGGAUACAUAGAGCCCACUCCUCCCCUAGCAUUGAAAAUACAGCAACAUGUGUGCAAUGAUUUUGCUAGGGAAGCUCAUCAGAAACUCAGCGCCCCAGAUUUUUACCAGGGGCUGGUUAUAUAGGCACCAGAAACGAAACAUUUUUUAACAAAUGUGCUAGAAAAACUAGAUGUCUCUAAAACACCAAAAAUCCCACCAUGACCCUCCAUCCCACCUUUCACGAUAAACAAAAUUAAUUCAAAUGAAUCAUUUAACUUUCUCUGAGUAGCCCUGUGCUUCCGCACUAGGAAAGCCAGGGGUCAGAGCAAUGAAGCCAUGCUCAGACCACACAAGUAAAUGACAGGGCUCCCCAUCUUCCACACCGUGCUGUUCAUGGAUCUUGAGAUUCCAUCCUAGAGCUCUACCUAAUCAUCUUGUUCAUUAUUGAGCCCCCAGAGCCCAGAAGCAUCUGGUGUUCAGUCGACACCUUGUAAAUAUUUGUUGAAGAGAUGAUUGAAUGGUAUUUGAAGGAUAAAAACUGUGCUAUCCACUUGAGCACAAUCCCCCACCACAAUGAGUAGCACACACCUAGUUGCUAACAUUCUUCCCUGACCCCCUCCUCUAUAAGGAGCUUGGGUUUUAAGGUUCAUGUAUAGAGACUGUAGCCAAAUUAUGAGGGGGGAGGUGGACAGAGAGAGGGGAGAGAGAGCAUGCACGGGGGGGAGGGGAAAGAGAUAAUAACUAAAACCUAGACACUAGAACAAAACUAAAAUUUCCACAGAGAGCUAGUGACAUAUGAAUUCAAAAUAAAAUAAAUUAAAAAUAUUUUAGCUCCAAAUCAACAUCAUUUUCCCUCUGAUUCCAUGGAGAGGCAAUUUAAAAGGACUUAAAUGCCAAGAACUAUAAAAUAUUAAUCAAGGAAAUUAAAGAAGAUGUAAAGAAAUGGAAACAUAUUCCAUACUCCUGGGUUGGAAAAAUUAAUAUCAUAAAAAUAUGCAUUUCACCCAAAGCAAUCUACAGAUUCAAUGUAAUCCCUACCAAAUUACCCAUGACAAUUUUCACAGAACUAGAACAAACAAUCCAAACAUUUAUAUGGAACAACAAAAGACACAGAAUCGCCAAAGCAAUCCUGAGAAACAAAAACCAAGCAGGAGGCAUCACUCUCCCAGAUUUCAGGCAAUAUUACAAAGCCACAGUCAUCAAGUCAGUGUGGUACGGGUACCAAAACAGACAUACAGACCAAUGGGGCAGAAUAGAGAAUAAUGUAUACAUGCAUGUGUAACUGGGUCGCCAUGCUGCACAGUAGAAAAAAAGUUGUAUUGGGAAAAUAACAAUAAAAUGAAAUUUAAAAAAAUACUCAAUUUGCUUAUCUUGAAAAUUAAGAGGGGGGUAUCAAAUUCUAUCUGCAAUGGAUGGUAAUGAGUGGAGAGACAGGGCUUGACGCAGGUUGGAUGAAGCUGAAAGAUGCAAUAGAAAAAACAUGGUCAGGAGAGUAGAGGAGAAAGCAAACAGAGAGGGAGGGAGGGUAAGGGAACAUUGUUUGGCAAACAAUGCCUGGAACCAGCUCAGUUUUAAAGCAUCUAAAUGGCCAGGACUGUGUCCUGGCGACUUUCACCUCCCCGGGGGUUGUGGUGUCUGCUGCUCCCUCAGUGAUUGUGGCUCCCAAGAACAUGAUAUCCUGCUUUUAAAAUCUAGCCACAAGGGUAGAGAAAGGCCCAUGUGGGGUUGUAUGGUGGAGCACCUGACAUCUCUCAAAAUAACAUUGCCAGGCAUGAACGGAAACCAUGAAGGAAAAGAAGACGAAAAGCACAACCACUGUGCUGUUUACGACACACAGAUUUCUGACUCUGUGGGAGUGAAUGCAGGGACGUCCAGGGACUGAGGUCUGGCUUCCCGCCUGCUCCACUCCUGGUCCGCCUUCAGUGCCACCACCACUUUAUUUCUUGCCCCUCAGGUCUGUCUGCAAGAGUCCGUGUCGUCUUCCAAGCCAAGGCUUCUGCAUCCCUUUCUUUUCUCUUCUUAGUCACGUACACCUGGUUUCCUUUUCUCCUUCUGUCAUGAGGAAAGGGUGACCCUUUCACACUUCCCAGCCACCUGCAUGGAUGGACGUGAGCACGUUGCAGGCAUUUGCUCAGAAGUAGCAUUUUAUGAUUUGAUGAGGGCACCUUAUCCUCUCACACAAUUUAUCAGUCAAACCUGGAUGCUUUUUCAAACGAAAACAUGGUCCUGUUAACAAUUAGAUGAGGACCACGGGCACACGCAGGUUGUUCUGGACUGGAUCUGUGGUCAUCCUAGAUAUAGACACGCUGUAAAUGGAUACCUUAACCUCAAACUGUCCUGUUACAGUUUGCAAUAAAAAUCCUCACACAAACGGUAACAAGCUUUUUUUUUUUUUUUUCCCCCAAGAGAGAAAGAUAAACCGAUGAACAGAGGGAGUCAGGCACAUAAAACCAUAAAACUAUACAGGAGGGUGAGAGGAAGAGGGAGACGCGGCGGGGUGCUGGAGUGAAGGCCCACAGCUUAGGUCUUUGCUGGGUUUAGAGGGGAGAUACAUGUCCUUUGAAAUGUUAAUUGCUCUAUUUCCUUAUUUUUGGGAGGAACACUUUUUCGAAUUUUAAUGAUUCUGAAAUCUGAAUGUUUAUUACAAUGGCUGCCUGAAAGAACUUUCUCACUGCGCCUAGGAAGAGGAAUAAUUUAUGACAGAAUUGUUACCGGCUGUGCAUGUGUGAACUCAGCAGUGUCUGGAAGGUAGAUGGUUCAGACUGACAGUUCCAUGAGAUCUCUGAAGCACCAUAUUUUGAAUUUUACAUUGAACUUUGAUACACACUAAUUGUCCAAACGUUCCCAGGAAGAGGUUCUAUGACAUCAUACUGUAGCAAAAAGUUACAACAUGCAGAGAAUGGUCUGCACUUCCCAGGCUGUGCAAUUAAAGGAGAUGGAAUUCAUCAAAUACCUUCCAGUGAUUCAUAGAAUUUUCAAAUCUAAGAGCAGGGGAGAUGUGGACAAAUCUUGUUUCAAGAAGACCUGCCACUUUGGUGGCUGUGGCCUGUCAGAAGCUAAGGCUGACUUUUAAGAAAAAUCUCUAGAGAUAAUUAGUUCAAUUAAACAAAAAGAAAAAAAAAAAAACACAAAAAACUAAGAGUUUAACCAUACAGUUGAUACAGAUCAAACAGUGGUCUCCUUCCAUUUGCCUUGAAAUGACAUGGUCCUUGGCAAAGGCGUUAAGGCUGAAAAUGGGGCUCGCCCUAUGAUGCAAUGCUUGAUUGGUGACGGCCAAAAGAUUCCAAAGAAUUCCAUGUGUAAGAAGGUUUAGACUCAAGUUUUCAUGGCGACCCUUAAAAUAAGUGGUGUGUAUAUGGGGAGAUAAAGUAAUGCUGUUGAUUAGGUUUUUAAGAGUUAAUUUGUACAUGAAUCAGUAUGCGUUCCCAGUACACCCACAGCUACCCUCAAACAUUGCAAUUAAUGAUCCACUUCAUAAUUGACUCUGCUCCAAAGUUAAAAAAAAAAAAAAUAUGACAUUUGCCAGCUCCACAACUGUCUUAAUCCUGGUAUUUGGAGGUUUCAUUAUCAAAUGUUAACCCAAGUUGCUUAUUCUUGUGGGGAUUUUGUUUCUUUGUUUGUUUUUUUAGGCUGCAUUCGUAGCAUAUGGAAGUUCCUAGGCCAGGGGUCGAAUCUGAGCUGUAGCCACUGGCCUAUACCACAGCAAUGCCAGAUCCGAGCCUUGUCUGCAACCUAUGUUUCAGUUCAGGGCAAUGCCGGAUCCUUAACCCACUGAGUGAGGCUACGGAUGGGACCUGUGUCUUCAGGGAUGCUAGGCAGAUUCCUUUCCACUGAGCCACAAUGGGAAUUCCGUGGGAAUUGUUAAAAGACAUCAUAGUAAUAGUUAGAACCCUGUGCCUUUUAGCACUGAGAGUAAUCUGACCAACACCUGGGUUUAUCUCUGAGGUGAAAAGUGUGCAUUCCUGAUAUUGGCAUACAUUUUACAGAUAGAUACACAUGGUCCAAGGUGUCUGGACUCAGGGAAAUAUAACGAGUAUGUGAUAGCAACACCACUGCCAAAUUUUACAGAAUAACUUCAUUUUGAGAGCAUUCAUGUCACAUUAGGACAGAAAUUUAGACUAUUAUCCCAGCUGAGUGGCUGCUAGAACAUCCAGCAUUAAAGGUAAAUGCCAGAAGAGAAAAGAUUUGUCUUUAAUCCAUAGUAAGUAAACUUAAGUCUCAAAAUGAAACAAAACAUUCACUGUGCUUUUCAGAUUAUUUCUUUUAGCUUUUAGGAGUCUCACAGGGGAACGUUAGAAUCUACCAGCUCACCCAAAAACCUGAAAAGAAAGGCUAAACACAUCCUCUACAGGGUAAUCACUCCUGUGGUACUAUUCUCUUUCUACUGUUUUAUAGUAUAUUUUUGUUGAGAUUAUGGACAAAUCAUUCUAUCAAACGUGCCCUAAAAGUACAAAUUGACUUCAAAUGAAGUUAAUGUACACUUUCCCUGUUAUAUAAAUAACUUCAUUAAAACAUUUGAUGUUCUGUCCUAUAUUAAUGAUAGUGACUGGGCUGGAUUAAGCAGUAUCAGAGAGCUGUAAAUAACUUCUUAGAGGUAUGCUGAGGGACCUGUCAGAAAUGCUCCUUGUGAUUUAUUUCCAAUAGUAUCUGGGGGUUUUAAGAUGCACACAAUAUGUUUUUCAAAUGUAAUUGAAAUUGUGAUUUUUGUGUUUUAUGAUGGUAAAAAAUGAAAAAAAAAAAAAAGGUUUCGAGUACACCAGUGUUUUCAACAAUAUAAUGUGCCAACAAUUCAAGUGAGUGCAUUGUACUUGGAUGCGAAAAUAGAAAUGGAAUUGGCUUAGACCCAAAAGUAAAAAUUACAAGGCAUUUGUGAUGGGUGGUGACAGGACUGGAGGAAGGGAUGGAGGGAUAUGUGAUCAGGUUGGCAGAAGAAAUAUAUUGACUUUAUUUUCUGAACCAAAACUCAAAAUGCAAUAUCUAAGAGUAUAAAGGUAUCAUGGGAUCAAGGGCAGAAAAUUAUGGCUGCCAUAGAAAAUCUGCAUAUUGUUGUUUUAGGAGUGCAUGAAGAAGCAGUGAAAACCAGACAAGGUGUUAACACAGGGAAAGGAAACUGCAAAAAGAAACCAAUUAUUGUAAAGUGAAUUAGAUUUUUUAAACCUGCUUCUGUUUUCCCCAAAUUAUUGCUAGAAGUAUAGGCAAAAUGUGCGGGGAGGAAAAAAAAUGUGUUAUGUUAACUGUGCCUUCUGAGUACAUUUAUUAUUCCCAAUUUACGCAUCAAGAAAUAUUUUGUGCUAAAAGCAAGAAACAACUUAGUCUCUGGAAUGAACUCUUUUCUUUUUAGAAACAAGAGACAAUCUUCUUAUCACACACCUUGAGAUGCCUCCCAAUAAGCAAAACUCCAAAUCAAGCUCCCUCAGAAAAUGCGAAAAAAAACCCAGAACAAUUUUCCAGUCGAUCAUUCAAAAAUUAUAAACAUUCUCUGAAGAAGAGACCAACAUACAUAACAUGUCUAAAAAUACAUUCCAUUCUUCCAUGGGAAUGCAGCUUAUGGGAAGGUCAGAAAUCUUUUCAAGAAGUUCUGAACUAUGUCAUUUUAAUAUCUACCCUUCGAUUUUUCUCAAUCUGGGCCAAAAUGUAUCUUAUCAACAUUUCAACAACACAUCAAACCGAAGCAGUUAUGGCAGCAAAGUUUCAUUGUUGAACAGAAGGUAUACUUCCCGUGUGAUAAGUGAUCACUUGUUGAAGAAGACAAUAAGAAGGAGUGAUUAUUAAUUUUUCAGAUAUGUUUGUCAUAGUUUAACAGGAUUCCUUUGAAUGUAAAAUUUCUCUAGAGGGUGGAAUUUUAAUAUUUGAUUCACAUACAUUUAGGUUAUACACAACUCUUCAGCAACACACUGGUGGCCUAAAGAAAGUUUGCCUCUGAAAGUGAACAGAAUAGCCAUACGCCUAGCAGAGUAUCCAAGCUACAAGCAUGGCCAGUUUGAGAAUCAUGAACGCAAAAGGAUUCAAGAAUUAAAAAGUACUAUUCAAGUCAAGCUCUGACUAUAACUUGGUUCAUGACAAAAGGUGACAAAUGGGAGGUAAAGAACCCCCUUACUCACCAACAGGACUGUUAUCUGGGUAGAAGGACCCGUGACAAAUUCGAGCUCUACGGAUGAGUUUUCUGU